ensembl:lncRNA
GAGGAUCACACCUAAGGCCUUGUAUUUGCUUAUAUAGUGCUCUUCCAUUGAACUACAGUGUGCUUCCUACCCCUGCUGCCCCAGGAUAUUCCUAACAUAGCAAACAAAAGGAUCUGCUUCUUCCUGUACUGAUAACUCCCACCGAAACUUUCUAUCUCAGUUGGUACAGAAGGAAAUCUUCAUUUUGGUGCUUAGCCACCCUUCCUGGCUGAUCUAGUCAAAACUGGCUGUCUCUCUCCACUCCUGCUUCACCUCACCAAUCCUUCCUCUGCCAAUCCUUCUGCCUAAACUAUGACUACUGUGCCAGCCUCCUUCACUGUUUCAUAGGGCCCUCAGCACCUUUGCACUUACUACCUCUAACCAGUGGGGAAUUCCCCUGUUCCUUUAAAUCUACUUUCAAAGUCCCCAUCUUGGUUCAUGCCUUUCUCCACGACCUCUCUCUAUGUCUUCAUUGUUUGCUCUGACUUUUUUAUACCCUUUUAAAAGACAGGGUCUCACUAUGUAGCUCUGACUGGCCGGAAACUCACUCUGUAGACCAGGCUAGCCUCUGCUGCUACUUCUGCCUCUCCCUAGUGCUACAGUUAAAGACAUCUGCCAUCACAUCUGGCUGACUGCUGCCUGACAUGUGACCUGUUUGCUUGUUCCUUCUGUUUUCCUAAAUCAGGGUGUAAGCAGCAUCUGUAAGCCCACAUGGCAGCUUCUCUGUUUUACCAAGAGUUGUGCAGAAAUUAUACAGAGUUGAAUUACAUAGUUGAGUUACAAAGAGUUAAAGGAAGAAGUGCAGCCCUACUGAGAGGAAAGCUGCAGGAGAGACAUGUUUCAUGAGGGUAUUUGAUUCUGGGAAAAGCAAAGACAGUGGAUUACAGCCAGAGAGCUCAACAUGGAAUGGCAGAUCUGACACCGAAAGCCAGGGCUCCUUCCAGGGACAUGUAGCUAUUUCCCUGAACCCUGGGUCCCAUACUUGCAAAAUAAAUAUGGUAGUAAUCAACCUCCUAGGUUAUUGCAAGACUUAAAAGAUGGUGCUAGCACACAGUGAACAUGUGAGUCAGAUUAUAGGAGUUUCUUGGCCUAAAUUGGGUUCAGUAGUUAGUUGGACUGGUUUAUUCUAAGGGUGAAAAAUUAACUAGUUCACAACCAUCUCCAGUGAUGACCAGAUUCCUUAGCAUGGAGAUGUUUGUUGGGUUUCAAGUCAGCUGUAGUGGAGAAUAAAACUAGGUUGGGUUGAGACGAGAGGCCCAUUUGGGUGGAUAGAUCUGAGGAUAGAUCUCUGUCAGGGCCAGAGGAAGUAGCAACAAGAAAGAAGCAAGCAGCGACACCUUUUUGUGUUCAGAACGGCAAUGCUCCUCCAGAAAGAAAUGAGAGGCUAUUAUGCAGGAAGGGAACUGUGCCUGUCAUGAGCUUCAAGAAAGAAAGGGGAGAAGGGAUGUGGAAAGGAGCUGUGUGUUGCUCUUUGUUCAGCUUUUUAUCUCAAGAGUCUGUUUAUAAAAAUGCUCUCUUUACCCAGGCUCUUUCACUCUGGCCUGGGUGCUCUCCCCCUUCACCUCCUCCCCCUCCUCCCCUGCUCCCGUUUGUGCUAAAGCUCUUUCCUUGAUUAAAUAAUGAAUAAAGGCUCUUCCCCAGCCUGGCUUUCCU